AUGAGCAUGUGGCUUCUCUGGUAUGUAGCCCUUUAUCUCCUAGUAGCAGGCUCUUUGGAUUGCCAAGUUAUCCAGACUCCAUGACGUCUUUUCAAAGGCAAAGGACAGAAAGCAAAAAUGAGCUGUAUCCCAGAAAAGGGACAUUCUUUUGUUUAUUGGUACCAACAGAAGCAGAAAGAAGAGUUAAAGUUUUUUUAUUUUUUUUUCAACAUCAAGAAGCUCAUGACAGAACAGACUUGUUCAAGAAGUGACUCUUAGCUAAGUGUCCCUUAAGCUCACCCUGCAGCUUGGAAAUCAGUUCCUCUGAGGCUGGAGACUCAGUGUUAUACCUCUGUGCCAGCAGUUGUC